AUUGAACGCUGGCGGCAGGCCUAACACAUGCAAGUCGAACGAGUGGCGGACGGGUGAGUAAUGUCUGGGAAACUGCCUGAUGGAGGGGGAUAACUACUGGAAACGGUAGCUAAUACCGCAUACCAUCAGAUGUGCCCAGAUGGGAUUAGCUUGGUGGUGGGGUAAUGGCUCACCAAGGCGACGAUCCCUAGCUGGUCUGAGAGGUUGACCAGCCACACGGGAACUGAGACACGGUCCAUAAUCCUACGGGAGGCAGCAGUGGGGAAUAUUGCACAAUGGGCGCUAGCCUGAUACAGCCAUGCCGCGUGUAUGAGGAGGGCCUUCGGGUUGUAAAGUACUUUCAGCGGGGAGGCGUUACCCACAGAAGAAGUACCGGCUAACUCCGAGCCAGCAGCCGCGGUAAUAC
rnacentral:rRNA from 1 species